UACGUAGGGACCAAGCGUUGUUCGGAUUUACUGGGCGUAAAGAGCGCGCAGGCGGUCGUUCAAGUCGCGUGUGAAAGCCCCCGGCUCAACUGGGGAGGGUCACGCGAUACUGAUCGACUCGAAGGCAGGAGAGGGUAGUGGAAUUCCCGGUGUAGUGGUGAAAUUCGUAGAUAUUGGGAAGAACACCGGUGGCGAAGGCGGCGAGCUGGUCCAUUACUGACGCUGAGGCGCGACAGCGUGGGGAGCAAACAGG
rnacentral:rRNA from 1 species